rnacentral:misc_RNA from 1 species
AAGACUAUAGACCUGCGGAGUACCUGCGGAGGGAUCAUUAAUGAAUUUUAGGACGUCCUUUUUAGAAGUCCGACCAUUUCAUUUUCUUACACUGUGCACACACUUCUUUUUACACACACUUUUAACACAUUAGUAUAAGAAUGUAAUAGUCUCUUAAUUGAGCAUAAACAAAAAUAAAACUUUCAGCAACGGAUCUCU